UCCUACGGGGGGCAGCAGUGGGGAAUAUUGGGCAAUGGGCGCAAGCCUGACCCAGCAACGCCGCGUGAAGGAAGAAGGCCCUCGGGUUGUAAACUUCCUUUAUCAGGGACGAAACAAAUGACGGUACCUGAUGAAUAAGCCACGGCUAACUACGUGCCAGCAGCCGCGGUAAUACGUAGGUGGCAAGCGUUAUCCGGAUUUACUGGGUGUAAGGGGCGUGUAGGCGGGAGAGCAAGUCAGACGUGAAAACUAUGGGCUUAACCCAUAGCCUGCUUUUGAAACUGUUUUUCUUGAGUGAAGUAGAG
rnacentral:rRNA from 1 species